rnacentral:rRNA from 1 species
ACAUAUGAAUAUAGGGAGUGGAAAAUAGGGCUUUCCGUCCGCUCAGCCGUACUCAAAUCACUCGCUGGUCUGUUAGUAGUUGGGUGGCUGACAAUCAGCGAAUCCAAGUUUUCGUAGUUU